CGUAGACGACAGGUUUUGUUUAAUUCAUUCUGUACCCUUCAUUUUGUUACAUGCUUUUCAGAUCAACAGUAUGAGGACUAUUAUUAUUGGAGUUGUGCUUCUCUUGAAAGCUGUAUGGUCGAUGAAAACGUUAGAUGGAAAACUACCAACACUAAACGGAAAUGGAUUACCGUUAAAUAUUGAUAUAGAUGUUUCUGAGUUUAACACAAGAUUUGCCGACAUUGUUAACAACGCCAUACCCGAAGAAAUAUCAAAGAAACUUUCAGCUUACUUGAAAAGUGAUAGAUUUAAAGAAGUCGUAAGUAAUGAAACCAAAGAAGACAUUAAAGCAAUAGCACAGCAAGCUUUGAAUGAUAUAUUUAAGCCUUAUGCUUACAGUUGGGAAUUUAAACAAGAUCUGAAGAGAAUGUCGGCUUUUAUUACCAAAGAAUCUGAAAUACGACCAGCAUUUUUCGUCUCCAUUAUGCCGCACCCUUAU